ACCAGUUUGAGUUCUGGAGGUGAAAUGGAAGGGGUAGAAGGUGUUGUGGAAGUUGGGUGGAAAAGAUGGUGGGUGCUGUUGAGUCGGUGAAGGUAACCCUGAGUGGAAGUGUCUGGUGCGAGAGAGGCAGGUUUAGGUGGCCAGGGUCAUUGUAGUGGAGAAGAUGUUGUAUGCAGAGGAAGUGGAGGGUUGAUGAAGGGUGAGGGAUUCUGAGAGGAUCCCUGUGAAUAGUAGAUCUUUGCCAGAACAGAGGGAUAGGCCAAUGAGUGAUAUAUGUUUCAGUGAGGUUGGCUUAGCAUUCAUAGCAAUUGUUAUCAGCUGUACCGCAGAGAUGACACAUAAGUCAUAGAAAAUAGAUGUUGUGGUGGCAGCUGCAGAGAAGAACUUGGGGGUACGAGAUUCGAUUUCAGAAGAGUUACAGUAGUAGUGUCUCGCUCUCUCGGGUCGUUGGCCUGGGGUAGGAUAAGACAGGGUUAAAGUAGUGGAAUAAGGUGAUGGGUUUUAAUGAGUGUAGGGUUAGUUAGUAGGGUCAUUAAAUAUAUAUUUGUAUGGAUUUUUUCACGUUUCCCCUUAUACCAAUUUGUAUAACAGAGUGUAAUGGAUUCAUACAAUAGUUCAGUAGAGGGCGAUAAUUCAACAUAUUGGAUGCCAACCGUCUUUAAACCUCACCGAAGAAGAAGGAGAAUGCACCUGUUCUUUUGUGAUUGUUGCCCUGCCCACUAUUUGACUGGAAGGAGAGCUAUUGCACACAUUUGUUUGUGAGGUUUCUUUGAUUGUUUCUUUUUUCCAAAUCUUGGGGGACAAUUGUUGCUGCAACAUGGUUUGGUUUCUGAUUCUCAUCUGGUUUGUCCAAGUGGGCAGUGUUCCGAUCACCAAUUUCACAAAUGCUACUACUUCAAAUGCUACUAUCCCUGCCACAGUAGACAAUUCUAAAACCCCCAUCAACAAUUCUACAAAUGUGACUUUCUCUGCCACAGUUAGGCCUAUACUGUGAUUUUCAAGUCAGUCACUUGGGAUGAUGG